CCUACGGGUGGCAGCAGUGGGGAAUAUUGGGCAAUGGGCGCAAGCCUGACCCAGCAACGCCGCGUGAAGGAAGAAGGCUUUCGGGUUGUAAACUUCUUUUGACGGGGAAGAGCAGAAGACGGUACCUCUUGAAUAAGCCACGGCUAACUACGUGCCAGCAGCCGCGGUAAUACGUAGGUGGCAAGCGUUGUCCGGAUUUACUGGGUGUAAAGGGCGUGCAGCCGGGCUGACAAGUCAGAUGUGAAAUCCGCGGGCUCAACCCCCGAACUGCAUUUGAAACUGUUGCCCUUGAGUGUCGGAGAGGUAAGCGGAAUUCCUUGUGUAGCGGUGAAAUGCGUAGAUAUAAGGAAGAACACCAGUGGCGAAGGCGGAGUACUGGACGAUAACUGACGGUGAGGCGCGAAAGCGUGGGGAGCAAACAGGAUUAGAUACCCGGGUAGUC
rnacentral:rRNA from 1 species